UAGAAAUUGGCGUAUUGAGAAAACGGUGUUGCUAUUAGAACGAUUUUUUGUUUCAGAAUUCUCCUCUAUUCUUUUAUUCUUUUCACUCUAUUUUGGUUCUUAGCACGUAGGUUGCACAACCAUUGCACAUAAAUAAUCAUUGUUUCUUUGCCAAGCUAAGCAAUCCUUACAUCUUAUGCAUUUCAAAUAUUGUGUACUGAGCGUAUUCUGAUGGAUUUUUAAAAUUUCUAGGGAGGAAUAUGACUAGGUGAAAUCCAGUUUUGUACCUUAUUCUCUUUGUAGUGACCUUUAUCCUGUUGGGAUUUUACUUUAACCAUGCACAGUAAAAAAUUGAUAGUUUUUGUGUUGUUGUAGUGAUGAGAUAGGAUGAUUGAGGAUGUUUUGUAUGGAAUAAUUUUGGAGGUAAAAAAUAGUUGGUUUUUUAUUGAAAGUUAAUAGUUUUGAAGAUUUUGGUAGAAAGUAAUUUGGUGGACAAAGUAGGUAGGAGAAAGGAACUUUAUUAAAAUGAUGAUAGCUUACAAUAGCUUGAGCUUUGUCUAGCUUCUUUUUUCUUACUAACAAAUGAGGGAUCAUGCCCUAUUUAUAGACUCUUAUCAUAUCUUCUAGAGAAUUCUACAAGUGUCUACAACCUAUACAAGUGUCUACAACCUAUACAAGGUUUUUUGGUGUCCAAGUUACUCUAGUGGAAUCUAGACAAUUCUAAUUUUUUAUUAUACUUGCUUACCAAGGAAUUCUAGGAUAUUCUAGGCAAGUAAUUCUAGAUUCUUCUAAAAAUGAGCAUCAUUAAAUUUAUCACUCCUCCUUGAUGCUCAUUUCGNCUGAUAGUUUUUGUGUUGUUGUAGUGAUGAGAUAGGAUGAUUGAGGAUGUUUUGUAUGGAAUAAUUUUGGAGGUAAAAAAUAGUUGGCUUUUUAUUGAAAGUUAAUAGUUUGGAAGAUUUUGGUAGAAAGUAAUUUGGUGGACAAAGUGGGUAGGAGAAAGGAAUUUUAUUAGAAUGAUGAUGGCUUACAAUAGCUUGAGCUUUGUCUAGCUUCUUUUUUU
rnacentral:lncRNA from 1 species